UGUGAAUUGCAGAAUUCAGUGAAUCAUCGAAUCUUUGAACGCACAUUGCGCCCCUUGGUAUUCCAUGGGGCAUGCCUGUUCGAGCGUCAUUUUGUACCCUCAAGCACUGCUUGGUGUUGGGCGUUUGUCCUGCAAAGGACUCGCCUGAAAGCGAUUGGCGGCCAACGUACUGGUGGUAGAGCGCAGCACAAUUUGCGUCUCUCCCUUCUACGUCGGCGUCCAUGAAGCCUUAUUCAAACGUUUGACCUCGGAUCAGGUAGGGAUACCCGCUGAACUUAAGCAUAUCAAUAAGCGGAGGAAAAGAAACCAACAGGGAUUGCCCUAGUAACGGCGAGUGAAGCGGCAUCAGCUCAAAUUUGAAAUCUGGCUCUUUCAGAGUCCGAGUUGUAAUUUGCAGAGGGCGGCUUUGGUGUCGGCAGCGGUCCAAGUUCCUUGGAA
rnacentral:rRNA from 1 species